rnacentral:tRNA from 1 species
AUAUAGAACUCUAUUUGAAUUAAAAAAAACUCUAUUCUCUAAAAAACUCUAUUCUCUAUAGUAAUAGUAUCGA